GAGAGUUCUGCUCUGCUGCACCCGGGCUCUCCAUGCACGCCCAGAUCAGGUCAUCUUCAUCAAGGCAUCAACUCAUCUGCCAGUGAGAAGAUUGCCCCUGCACUGCUGAUUCACAAGGACCUUCAGCUCCAGAUUUGAACUGUGGAGACAUCCAACGUUAUGGGCUGAGCAGCUAUCGGUUUCUCAACCCCUCCAGCAUCUAGACAAACACCGUUGGAUAACCCAGGUCAUCUAGAUGGAGCUACUGCUAUGUGCUUCACAGCUGCAGAAGGAUCUCAAGUCAUCAUUGAUAACGAUCAAGGAUGAACUCUGCUGUUGCCACCACAGGAAGCCAUUUGUCCAUGAUGAGCAACUAGAGACUGUUUGCUUGCGCCGCUUUUCUUACGGCUCCUCUCCUUCAUUCUCAACGCCAACCUGAACAUUCUUUACCCAGCCAAUAUCCUAUGCUGAACUACUCUGGACUCAAUAGAAAAAGGAAUUCUGGUCUCUUUCAGCUUUCCAUCACUAUUAAGAACGGUAUUUCUACGUGUCAAGUGCACGUGGCUACCCAAGGCUGGCAGAGCCCUAUUGUCUUCUAUACCUAGAAACUUGCUGUUUCUCAGCAAUGUUAGGUGGUCUAUUAAAACAUUUGCAGAAUUAAGUCAAAGCAAAAAUUACUUUUGUCCCAUUUGGCAUACACUAAAAACCACCAAAGCUUUCCAAACCUCCUUUGAGUAGAAAAUUUGCAAAACUGAGAGCAAGACCACCUUUCCUCCAGCUCUCACAGACCACCUCCAGGCCUGCCCUAUCCUGAGUCCAGCCGGACAGGACACCUGUCAACUCAAAAUGCCAUUCCUUUAGCAGCAUGUAACCUAACAGAAUAUCCUUGAAGGUUUUUUUCUUUGUCAAUAUUCCUGCUUUCACCCAAUGUCAAGGAUUUCCAGCCUGUUUCCUUUACUCCCUUUAUGCCCAUGUAGAAUCUCUGAUAAAAUUAUAAUAUUAUAGUCUAAGUGUGCAGAACAGAAUACAAAUAGAUCUGUAAGUCAACUCCAGCCAGUAGGAAAAGGUGACCUUUUAGGAAACAUCAGCCGAACAAUGAGCUCAGUGCUUUUGCAUCUUACCUGGGAAUAUCUUCCAGGCUCAUUUGUCACUGUGAAUUAUCUGUUACUCUCAGUAUCAAAGGCUGUCUUACAAACUCAAGAACUCUAUCAUAAGUUAUAAUAUUCUCAACAAUAUUGGCAGACUCCUCCAUUUAGUUGAGAAUAAUAUUGGUUCUCUUGAUAUGAAGUUAUGAACUUCUGGUCACCUUUUUCUUGUCUUUUGCAAGUAGAAAGCAUUGAUUUGCUUCUGAACAUAUGCCUUUGAGCACAUUCCCCACUGUGAAGAAACUCUAAGAGUCUGAUAAUUUAUCAAAUCAAUUUUAAGUAAACAAAAGCAAGACUCAUUUGCAAGCAUUGCCAGAAUUAAUAAAAAUAUCAUUCUAAGGAUAUUUAAUGUGCUUAAGUAAUCAUCAGUAAAAAAAAAUCAGAUUAUUCCAUUUUAAUUUCAGCUCACAGUGUUGAGAUAUAUAGACAGAAUAUUCAACUUUAAAUAAAUAAACAUGAGUCCAAACUAUCUGAGUUGAAAUUAGCACUUCCCAUUCUGUAUAUGAAGUUUGAGGCUUACCUGGAGAAAGCAGUUAUUCUAAUCAAAACCCAAGUCAAACCUAGCAUAUGAGCCCACCUCUUCUUUAUCCCAUUAAUAUCUGCUCAGCUUACCUUCCACAACCCAUGGGGUGAGGCAGCAGACUCCCAGGAAAGUCAGGAGGAGAAGUCUCAUGGCUGAGGUCUUGCUGGGCUGUGCAAGAAGAAUGUGGAGCAGACUCCCCAGGAGCCCCUUUUAUUACCCUCAAUGUUGUGAAGCUAAGGUCGGAUCUUCCAUCCUGAAGCCAGUCCGUGUCAUGGCUCAGUGUGAUAACUGGGCAAAGGAAAUGAGGUGGUGUGGUCACGGUGGUCCAUCCCACCUGCUGCCUGGGACUGAAGGCGUCGACAACCACAAAUCAGCCCCCCGUGGCCCUGCCUGACUCCACAGGAAAGCAAAGAGCUUGCUGCUGUUCUGGCUUCUCCUUCUUCAUCUCCUUCUUCCUUAGCUUUGCUCAGGUUGCACCCAUUUCUUCAACAGGAGGAGGAGCAACAGCAUAUCUCUAUGCAUGCUUGCUGGUUGGGGGAAACAGACAUACACUGGUCUGGUUAAGCUUAUUGCUGUUCUACAAUCUUAUCUUAGAAAGAAAAAAAAGACUUCUAUCCCCAGCACCCGCAUCUGUGCCCUUCACAGUCACUUAUCAGCCCUGCUCCAGGGGAUCUGAUAGCCUCCUCUGAUCUCCAUGAGCACCUGACUACAGGUGCAGGUAGACUCACAUACAUACAAGUAAGUAAAUAGAAUAAAAGCUCCAGAAGUCUCCCUUCUAAGGGUGUUCGUGUACACAAUCAUGAUCAUGACAAUUGCUGUUUCAGCAAACUAAAAAGUUAAAUAGCUGCUCCUGUUUCUUCUGUCUUUGCUCUUGUACUUUGAGCAAGCUUUCAUGCAUUAAAUAGCCUCCUCUGCUACUACAACACAGAUACAGCUCUAAGGCUAUUUUUUUCAAUAGUAUAAUCUGGCCUGAUUCCAUUAAUAAUUUGGAAGAUGGAUAGUGGGAGAAAGCAUACUGCUGUACUUGUAGCUCUUGCUACCUUUAUAUAAUCUUCCCAAAAUAUAGUUUUCAUUUGCAAUGUCUCCAACAGAGAUUAAGUAUAUCGAUUAUACCAACCUUUCUGAUAUUCCAUUUUAGUUUUGUUUCUUAGUUUAUAUAGUUGUCAAUAAAAUAUGCUUACUGAU
rnacentral:lncRNA from 1 species